rnacentral:rRNA from 1 species
GUCGAACGGCAGCAUGAUCUAGCUUGCUAGAUUGAUGGCGAGUGGCGAACGGGUGAGUAAUACAUCGGAACGUGCCCUGUAGUGGGGGAUAACUAGUCGAAAGAUUAGCUAAUACCGCAUACGACCUGAGGGUGAAAGUGGGGGACCGCAAGGCCUCAUGCUAUAGGAGCGGCCGAUGUCUGAUUAGCUAGUUGGUGAGGUAAAGGCUCACCAAGGCGACGAUCAGUAGCUGGUCUGAGAGGACGAUCAGCCACACCGGGACUGAGACACGGCCCAGACUCCUACGGGAGGCAGCAGUGGGGAAUUUUGGACAAUGGGCGAAAGCCUGAUCCAGCAAUGCCGCGUGUGUGAAGAAGGCCUUCGGGUUGUAAAGCACUUUUGUCCGGAAAGAAAUGGCUCUGGUUAAUACCUGGGGUCGAUGACGGUACCGGAAGAAUAAGGACCGGCUAACUACGUGCCAGCAGCCGCGGUAAUACGUAGGGUCCAAGCGUUAAUCGGAAUUACUGGGCGUAAAGCGUGCGCAGGCGGUUGUGCAAGACCGAUGUGAAAUCCCCGAGCUUAACUUGGGAAUUGCAUUGGUGACUGCACGGCUAGAGUGUGUCAGAGGGGGGUAGAAUUCCACGUGUAGCAGUGAAAUGCGUAGAGAUGUGGAGGAAUACCGAUGGCGAAG